UGCGGGAUGGAGCAGUCUGGUAGCUCGUUAGGCUCAUAACCUAAAGGUCGUUGGUUCAAAUCUAGCUCCCGCAUCCA
rnacentral:tRNA from 1 species